rnacentral:rRNA from 1 species
GUGGGGAAUAUUGGACAAUGGGCGAAAGCCUGAUCCAGCCAUGCCGCGUGUGUGAAGAAGGUCUUCGGAUUGUAAAGCACUUUAAGUUGGAAGGAAGGGCAGUAAGUUAAUACCUUGCUGUUUUGACGUUACCGACAGAAUAAGCACCGGCUAACUUCGUGCCAGCAGCCGCGGUAAUACGAAGGGUGCAAGCGUUAAUCGGAAUUACUGGGCGUAAAGCGCGCGUAGGUGGUUUUGUAAGUUGGAGGUGAAAUCCCCGGGCUCAACCUGGGAACUGCCUCCAAAACUGCAUGACUAGAGUACGGUAGAGGGUAGUGGAAUUUCCUGUGUAGCGGUGAAAUGCGUAGAUAUAGGAAGGAACACCAGUGGCGAAGGCGACUACCUGGACUGAUACUGACACUGAGGUGCGAAAGCGUGGGGAGCAAACAGGAUUAGAAACCCGGGUAGUCC